CCCCCUGCUAUGCAGGGGGGGCGGUUCUUGUUCUCCCCGAACCAUCAUCACCAAGACACAGAUUGUCGGACAAGGAGGUGGUGCAUGUUUCGGAAAAAACAUCCGCU
rfam:Kyasanur forest disease virus strain KFD P 9605, complete genome